UGUGGAGUGCGUUCGAGCGAGAAUGUUGGCAUGAGUAGCGAAAGAGGGGUGAGAACCCCCUCCGCCGUAUGUCCAAGGGUUCCUGGGCGAGGCCAAUCCUCCCAGGGUGAGUCGGGAGCUAAGGCGAGGCCGAGAGGCGUAGUCGAUGCACAACUGGUUGAUAUUCCAGUACCACCAUGUUCGCGACCGUUCCAAUACUUUGUUGCUAAGGGGCUGUGUUGACUUCGGUUAACACGAACCGACCCACAUUGUUGCGGAAAGCUAUAGGGGGACGCAGGAAGGUAGAUGAACCCGGUGAAUGGUAGAACCGGGGUAAGCGUGUAGGAGGAGGACCAGGCAAAUCCGGGCCUCAUAUACUCUGAGACGUGAUACCGAGCCGCUUCAGGCGAAGUCAUUAAUCCUAUGCUGCCUAGAAAAGCCCAGUAGCGAGUUGACAUGGUGCCCGUACCCCAAACCAACACAGGUGGACAGGUAGAGCAUACCAAGGCGAGUGGGAUAACUAUGGUUAAGGAACUCGGCAAAUUUCCUCCGUAACUUCGGGAUAAGGAGGACCCCAGUAGCGUGACGAGACUUGCUCUCCGAGCGUGAAGGGGUGGCACAAAAUUGAGGGAAGCGACUGUUUACCAAAAACACAGCAGCGUGCUAAGCCGUAAGGCGCUGUAUACGCUGUGACUCCUGCCCGGUGCUGGAAGGUUACGGGGAUGGGUUAGUCCUUUGGGACGAAGCUCUGAACCUAAGCCCCAGUAAACGGCGGCCGUAACUAUAACGGUCCUAAGGUAGCGAAAUUCCUUGUCGGGUAAGUUCCGACCUGCACGAAUGGAGUAACGACUUCCCUACUGUCUCAACCAUAGACCCAGCGAAAUUGAAGUACGAGUAAAGAUGCUCGUUAGCUGCAGAAGGACGGAAAGACCCCGUGGACCUUUACUAUAACUUGAUGUUGUGUUUUGUCAUAUGUUGUGUAGGAUAGGUGGGAGACAAGGAAGCAUGGACGCUAGUCUGUGUGGAGUCAUCGUUGAAAUACCACCCUGCAUAUGGUGAGGCUCUAACCUAGACCCGUUAUCCGGGUCGGGGACAGCGUCAGGCGGGUAGUUUAACUGGGGCGGUUGCCUCCUAAAGAGUAACGGAGGCGCCCAAAGGUUCCCUCAGCCUGGUUGGCAAUCAGGCGUCGAGUGCAAUGGCAAAAGGGAGCUUGACUGCGAGACCUACAAGUCGAGCAGGAGCGAAAGCUGGGCAUAGUGAUCCGGCGGUUGCGUGUGGAAGCGCCGUCGCUCAACGGAUAAAAGGUACCCCGGGGAUAACAGGCUAAUCUUGCCCAAGCGUCCAU
rnacentral:rRNA from 1 species